AUUGGGUUUAAAGGGAGCGUAGGCCGGAGAUUAAGCGUGUUGUGAAAUGUAGACGCUCAACGUCUGCACUGCAGCGCGAACUGGUUUCCUUGAGUACGCACAAAGUGGGCGGAAUUCGUGGUGUAGCGGUGAAAUGCUUAGAUAUCACGAGGAACUCCGAUUGCGAAGGCAGCUCACUGGAGCGCAACUGACGCUGAAGCUCGAAAGUGCGGGUAUCGAACAGGAUUAGAUACCCUGGUAGUCCGCACGGUAAACGAUGGAUGCCCGCUGUUGGUCUGAAUAGGUCAGCGGCCAAGCGAAAGCAUUAAGCAUCCCACCUGGGGAGUACGCCGGCAACGGUGAAACUCAAAGGAAUUGACGGGGGCCCGCACAAGCGGAGGAACAUGUGGUUUAAUUCGAUGAUACGCGAGGAACCUUACCCGGGCUUGAAUUGCAGAGGAAGGAUUUGGAGACAAUGACGCCCUUCGGGGCCUCUGUGAAGGUGCUGCAUGGUUGUCGUCAGCUCGUGCCGUGAGGUGUCGGCUUAAGUGCCAUAACGAGCGCAACCCCUCUCCUUAGUUGCCAUCAGGUUAAGCUGGGCACUCUGGGGACACUGCCACCGUAAGGUGUGAGGAAGGUGGGGAUGACGUCAAAUCAGCACGGCCCUUACGUCCGGGGCUACACACGUGUUACAAUGGCAGGUACAGAGAGACAGUCCCUUGCAAAAUGGAUCAAAUCCUUAAAGCCUGUCUCAGUUCGGACUGGGGUCUGCAACCCGACCCCAUGAAGCUGGAUUCGCUAGUAAUCGCGCAUCAGCCAUGGCGCGGUGAAUACGUUCCCGGGCCUUGUACACACCGCCCGUCAAGCCAUGAAAGCCGGGGGCGCCUAAAGUCCGUGACCGUAAGAGCGGCCUACGCGAAACUGGUAAUUGGGGCUAAGUCGUAACAAGGUAACCGUAAAGGGCGAAUUCUGCA
rnacentral:rRNA from 1 species